UAAGGAAUAUUGGUCAAUGGAGGAAACUCUGAACCAGCCAUCCCGCGUGCAGGAAGAAUGCCCUAUGGGUUGUAAACUGCUUUUAUCUGGGAAGAAAAGCCGGCAUUUAUGUUGGUCUGACGGUACCAGAGGAAUAAGCACCGGCUAACUCCGUGCCAGCAGCCGCGGUAAUACGGAGGGUGCAAGCGUUAUCCGGAAUUACUGGGUUUAAAGGGUGCGUAGGUGGCGCUGUAAGUCAGUGGUGAAAGGU
rnacentral:rRNA from 1 species